rnacentral:lncRNA from 1 species
CCAUUUCACUUGAUAAAUGAGUUAGUCCUUCAUGUGCCCUUCUUCCCCAUCAUGACCACUCGACCUUAUUGAACUGGAAGAACAGCAAAAACCCGGUAGCCUAUCCGUGGUUGGCUGGGAUAUGAUGGCGUGGUGGGCGAAAGGUUUGUUUCCUGGUAAGUUGUGUAACAAUGUCUUAAAUCCCAUGUUUUGUUGAUGAUCUUCUUUUUCUUUCUUAAAACUUAAACGAGUUAUAUAUUCAAUAGAUUUAAAGUCUCGAUUGGAGUUAUUAAAGAUUUCAGAAUUUAUGAUCUUAUGAUCUACCCUUUCGAUCAAGGUAUGGUUGGAAGAUCGGUAAAUUUCAGUGAACUUAAGUCUUGAACUUUCGGUUGUUUGUUUGAGUCGUGUCAAUUGAUAUGAUUUGCCUUUUAAAACAAAGGCAUAGUUGAAAUAUGUUUGCUUGUUUUUCAUCCUCCUAAUUUCCCUAACAUUAUUGAUUUUAUUAAAUUAAUGUAGCUUUUAAUGCUGGAAGCACUUACAGUUCAUGUUUAUGUCUACCGGACCUUCAAUUAAAUUUCUAAAUUCUAUGACCCUUGAGAUUACUUUUAUUAAUAUUAUUUCUUGAUGAAAAUUCCAAUUAUUUGUUUGGUGGUUGUGUAUUUCAAAUCGUCGGUGAUUAACAAUAGCAUCUUUCAGACUUGGUAGCAUUUGUGGAGCUUAGAGAUACAUGGACCAUCUGAUUUUUUUUUGUUCCCCAAACUGACUCUAAAUAUAUGUCCCAUAUGAUAGAUAUAUUUAAUUUAAAAUAUACCACAUUUCUUGGGGAAUCAAGAAAGCAGCUGAUUUCAUUGGCAAAUUGGUCCCAUUCUCUAAGUAGAUUCAAGAAAAUACAAAUUUGAUAUUCAUGGCAUAAUUGGUAAAUAGUAUUGUUAUUGAUUAAACAAUACAAUUGGCAAGAUUUUAGUUUCUUUUUAUUCUUUAAUACUUCCAUGUAGUCCCCUUACCAAACAUAUUUAAUUAACAGUGUGUCAGUGGGCCGACUCUUCAAGUUUUCUAUUGGAACCAUAUAUAGAAAGGAAGGUUAGAUAUCUUUGAUAGGGUUGUAUUUUUGGUUAAAAUGGGAUGGUGUUCAAACUCACAAAAUGCAGUCUAGACAGUGGGCAGAAACUGGACUGACUCGAAGAGUGGUCAAUCUCCUACACUGCGUGCUCAUCAAGGUCCUCCUAAUUAAGGUUAGCCUUACUCUCCUGACUCUUAUUUGAACCCACAAAACUUACUGGCGUGAAAAACCAGGCAUCCUGGCCUGUACUUCUCUUAUUACUUAGACACUAGCCGUAGCCUAUCUUUUUCCCUUUUUCUUUUUUCUUUUCUUCCUUGUUUUUUGGUCGAGGUUCCAAAUCUCACAUCGUAUCGAGUCUUUUUUCUGUUGAUCCCGUCAAACCAGCAUGUAUCCCAUACACUGUAAUUCUGUGAGGUCUGCAAAAUGGCAAUAUAGCUUAUUAGAAGUGCUGUAUAGUAUCAUAUACCACCUAUAGAAAAAAAACCAAAUUAUGCAUUCAGUGACAUGCAUACUAUUGUUUUUAAAUGAUAUUAGUGGCAUUAUGACUGUGUUCAACUUCAUCCAACAACACGGACAAUAAACUAAUACCAUGACAAAUACAUUAACUCAUUAAUAGACAGAUUUCUAAUUCACCUUUUCACAUUGAAAUAUAAUAGUUUUAUGGAACUUGUCUUGCAGAAUAAAUAAAGAACCUAACUAAAAAUGGGUAAAAAGGGUAACAAAAGUAUCAGCCAUAUUUAGGUUUUGAAAAGGAACCAGAGAAGUCCUUUUGCCGAAAAAUUAAAGAAAUAAGUCAGAUUUCUCGUGUUUAAUUCUUUCCUUGAAUUUUGAUAUGAAUUGAUUUAAUAUGAUAUUAAAAACGUCUUGAAUUUGAGCCUUAUCAUUGUCCAUUUACAAAAUUUCACAUAUAUGAAACGACUUUGAAGUAAAAAUGAUUUCGACACGUUGAAUCUAUUUACAUAAAUAAAUUAAUCCUACCAUCUCUCUCUCUUUUUUCUAGGUAAUGUGGUUCAAUAUUUUCAACUGCUAAUGCAUUUGCUGCUGGAUACGAACUUUGUGCUAACAUUUGGCAAUUUGGAAGCUACUAUACAUAAAGGAAUAAUACUUUUAUCUAUCUUUAUUUUGUAGUCUACACUUG